UUUAGCUUCAGCCUUCUCUUUAUUCCCAAAUCUGACUGAAAUCUCUCCAUCUCGAACCUUUGUGACUCAGUAAGUUGCCGAUCUCUCCAUCUCCAUCUCCAUCUCGAACCUUUGUCUCCGUCCAUCUCAAAGCUUUGUCACUCCAUCUCCCUUCGUAAGUUACCGAUCUCCAUUCGUAAGUCGCCGACUCCAAGUCUCCAACUCCAGAAUCAAAAAAAUUCUUAGGUAAUUUUGAGUUUAUUUUGAGAUUUAGUCAAUUGAUUUAUCUUUAUUUAUGUCGAUUUGUCUAUAUAUGGCAUAUGGGUGUUUAUUGUUUACUUGUUUAGGGCUUUUUUGUUGAUGAUCUGUUUAUUUUGUUGGUGGUUUGUUUAUUUGAUGUAUAUAUUUAUUUAAUUCUUUUUCAGCAUCAUUCCAUUGUCCUCUAGACUCUAGUUAUCAUGUGUGUGCCCCUGCUCAUAAUUUUGAACAAUUGCAAUUUGCAAAGAGAUUAAUAAUAAGGGAAUUUUUGUGUGGAAUCAGAGGCGGAACUGGGGGGCGGGGGGCAUCUGACCCCGGUAGCAGAGGCGGC
rnacentral:lncRNA from 1 species